rnacentral:rRNA from 1 species
UACGUAGGGUGCGAGCGUUGUCCGGAAUUAUUGGGCGUAAAGAGCUCGUAGGCGGUUUGUCGCGUCUGCUGUGAAAACCUAAGGCUCAACCUUGGGCUUGCAGUGGGUACGGGCAGACUAGAGUGCGGUAGGGGUGACCGGAAUUCCUGGUGUAGCGGUGGAAUGCGCAGAUAUCAGGAGGAACACCGAUGGCGAAGGCAGGUCACUGGGCCGCAACUGACGCUGAGGAGCGAAAGCAUGGGGAGCGAACAGG